AGCAGCCGCGGUAAUUCCAGCUCCAAUAGCGUAUAUUAAAGUUGUUGCAGUUAAAAAGCUCGUAGUUGAAUUUCGGGGUCAGUAGUUUGGUCGUGCCACUGGUAUGUACUGGGCUCACUGAUUCCUCCUUCCUGAUGAACUGUAAUGCCAUUAAUUUGGUGUUGCAGGGAAACUGGACUGUUACUUUGAAAAAUUAGAGUGUUUAAAGCAAGCUAACGCUUGAAUACAUUAGCAUGGAAUAAUGAAAUAGGACGUUCGAUCCUAUUUUGUUGGUUUUCUAGGAUUGACGUAAUGAUUAAUAGGGAUAGUUGGGGGCAUUAGUAUUCAAUUGUCAGAGGUGAAAUUCUUGGAUUUAUUGAAGACUAACUACUGCGAAAGCAUUUGCCAAGGAUGUUUUCAUUAAUCAAGAACGAAAGUUAGGGGAUCGAAGACGAUCAGAUACCGUCGUAGUCUUAACCAUAAACUAUGCCGACUAGGGAUCGGAUGAUGUUAAUUUUUUAAUGACUCAUUCGGCGUACCC
rnacentral:rRNA from 1 species